rnacentral:snoRNA from 1 species
CCCUUUCAGAUUGCUUACCCCUCAGAUCUAAAUACCGGUCUGAGGGGCUAAAAAGGAAGAAAGGUAAAACUGAAGUGAACAUGCAGUCCUCAGUGACAUACAAGUUCAUUGCAAAAACAU